rnacentral:rRNA from 1 species
GCAAGCAUCCCCGCCCCAGUGAGAAUGCCCUCUAUAUCUAUAUCUGAUCAAAAGGUGCAGGUAUCAAGUUCACUAAUCCUAGUAGCUCAUAACGCCUUGCUCCACCACACCCCCACGGGAUACAGCAGUAAUUAAAAUUAAGCCUAUAAACGAAAGUUUGACUAAGUUAAGCUAGAUUAGGGUUGGUAAAUUUCGUGCCAGCCACCGCGGUCAUACGAUUAACCCUAGUUAAUGAAAUACGGCGUAAAGCGUGAUUAAGAUAUUAGACAAAUAAGAUUAAAAUAAUACUAAACCGUAAAAAGUCUUGGUAUUCAUAAAAAUCAAGUACGAAAGUAAUCUUAAAUUCUCUGAAUUCACGAUAGCUAAGACUCAAACUGGGAUUAGAUACCCCACUAUGCUUAGCCCUAAACAUAAAUAUUCAACAAACAAGAAUAUUCGCCAGAGUACUACUAGCAAUAGCUUAAAACUCAAAGGACUUGGCGGUGCUUUACACCCUCUAGAGGAGCCUGUUCUAUAAUCGAUAAACCCCGAUUCACCUCACCACCUUUAGCAAAUAUCAGCCUAUAUACCGCCAUCUGCAGCAAACCCUAAAAAGGUCUUAUAGUAAGCAAGAAAAUCUUACAUUAGUACGUUAGGUCAAGGUGUAGCCUAUAAGGUGGGAAGAAAUGGGCUACAUUUUCUAUUUUUCUAGAAUAUAUACACGAUAGCUUUUAUGAAACUUAAAGCAUAAGGCGGA